rnacentral:rRNA from 1 species
CAGCCGCCACGGGAAUACAGAGGGUGCAAGCGUUAAUCGGAUUUACUGGGCGUAAAGCGUGCGUAGGUGGCCAAUUAAGUCAAAUGUGAAAUCCCCGAGCUUAACUUGGGAAUUGCAUUCGAUACUGGUUGGCUAGAGUAUGGGAGAGGAUGGUAGAAUUCCAGGUGUAGCGGUGAAAUGCGUAGAGAUCUGGAGGAAUACCGAUGGCGAAGGCAGCCAUCUGGCCUAAUACUGACACUGAGGUACGAAAGCAUGGGGAGCAAACAGGAUUAGAUACCCCAGUAGUCCCUGUCUCUUAUAC